UCCGUGUAUGCGUGCUAGAUGCCCAAUCGGGACUUAUCUCUCCAAAAUAAAACAAUACAAUGCCCAAACGGGACUUGUGUUAAUGUGUUAGAGGGCCCAAACGGGACUUAUCUCUUCAUUAAAGAACAAAUACAGAAUAAAUCAAAAUAAUGCCCAAGACGGGACUCAUAUAUGCACACGAGAGAGCCCAAUCGGGACUUAUCUCUGACAUAGAAUAAAAUAUA
rnacentral:lncRNA from 1 species